ACUCAAAUGAAUUGACGGGGACUUGCACAAGCGGUGGAUCAUGCGGCUCAAUUCGAUGACAAACGAAGAACCUCACCCGGGUUUGAAACCCAGACGACCGCCUAGGAAACUAGGCUUUCGCAAGACGGCUGGGCAGGUGAUGCAUGGUCGUCGUCAGUUCGUGGCUUGAGUUGUUCCCUUCAGUGGGGUAACGAACGCAACCCGCGUUGCCUGUUUUAAAUGUCAGGCGAGACUGCUCCCUCACGGGAGAGGAAGGUGCGGAUGACGCCAGAUCAGCAUGUCCCUCUGAUAUCCGGGGCUGCACGCAUGAUACAAUGGGCGCGACAACGAGACGCAAUGUGGUAACACGGAGCAAAUCUUGAAACGCGUCCUCAGUUCGGAUUGAGGUCUGCAACUCGACCUCAUGAAGCCGGAAUCGCUAGUAAUCGCGGGUCAGCUAUACCGCGGUGAAUACGUUCUCAAGUCUUGUACACACCGCCCGU
rnacentral:rRNA from 1 species